UUUGAACAAAAAAAUUCCGACUCUUGUGUAAAUCAUGGAAGGCUCAUGCAUUGACGCUAGAGUACGCAGUGGGCAAUCGAUCCAUCACGAAGUUCCAGCCGCAGUUAGUGAGGGUCAUUUGUCCAAGAAUACCAUCAUAUGGUUUGUCGGAUUCAAGGAGAUGGAGGUAUGUUAUACAUUGUAGGGCGGAAGGAUAUACCUAUAUAUGGCAAAAUGGGCGGAUCAGGCCUGAAGGAGUGAGUGUGUUGGUCAAUGUGCCAUUUUGUUGACUGUGGUAUCUUUCCGCUUUGCCCGUUUGUGGUGCAGCACGACUCCUGGUAUUGACACCCCAAAAAUGCCCCCUUGCAAUAUUCUGCUGCCGAAUAGAAAAAAGAAAAAAGGGCAAGGAAAGAAAAUAAAUCCAUGUCCAAAAUUUGGGG
rnacentral:sRNA from 2 species